rnacentral:rRNA from 1 species
AUACGUAGGGGGCGAGCGUUGUCCGGAAUUAUUGGGCGUAAAGCGCGCGCAGGCGGUCCCUUAAGUCUGAUGUGAAAGCCCACGGCUCAACCGUGGAGGGUCAUUGGAAACUGGGGGACUCGAGUGCAGAAGAGGAGAGCGGAGUUCCACGUGUAGCGGUGAAAUGCGUAGAGAUGUGGAGGAACACCAGUGGCGAAGGCGGCUCUCCGGUCUGUAACUGACGCUGAGGCGCGAAAGCGUGGGGAGCAAACAGGAUUAGAUACCCUGGUAGUCCACGCCGUAAACGAUGAGUGCUAAGUGUUAGAGGGGUUAAACCCUUUAGUGCUGUAGCUAACGCGUUAAGCACUCCGCCUGGGGAGUACGGCCGCAAGGCUGAA